rnacentral:sRNA from 1 species
UGCCCUUUGUACACACCGCCUGUCGCUACUACCGAUUGAAUGGCUCAGUGAGGCGUUCGGACUGGCUCGGGGAGGUUGGCAACGACCACCCCAAGCCGGAAAGUUCGUCAAACUCGGUCAUUUAGAGGAAGUAAAAGUCGUAACAAGGUCUCCGUAGGUGAACCUGCGGAGGGAUCAUUACACAACAAAAUAUGAAGGCUGUACGCGGCUGUGCUCUCGGGCCAGUUUUGCGGAGGCUGAAUUAUUUAUUACCCUUGUCUUUUGCGCACUUGUUGUUUCCUGGGCGGGUUCGCCCGCCACCAGGACCACAUCAUAAACCUUUUUUAUGCAGUUGCAAUCAGCGUCAGUAUAACAAAUGUAAAUCAUUUACAACUUUCAACAACGGAUCUCUUGGUUCUGGCAUCGAUGAAGAACGCAGCGAAAUGCGAUACGUAGUGUGAAUUGCAGAAUUCAGUGAAUCAUCGAAUCUUUGAACGCACAUUGCGCCCUUUGGUAUUCCAAAGGGCAUGCCUGUUCGAGCGUCAUUUGUACCCUCAAGCUUUGCUUGGUGUUGGGCGUUUUUUGUCUUUGGUUGCCAAAGACUCGCCUUAAAAGGAUUGGCAGCCGGCCUACUGGUUUCGCAGCGCAGCACAUUUUUGCGCUUGCAAUCAGCAAAAGAGGACGGCAAUCCAUCAAGACUCCUUCUCACGUUUGACCUCGGAUCAGGUAGGGAUACCCGCUGAACUUAAGCAUAUCAUA